AAAAUGUAAGUUGAAGUGCAAUGAUGAAAAAGAGAGAAAUGUUUACUACAGUUCAAAGUUAACAUUUCAAAUUUAACAUAUGUGUUUUAUUUUAAUUAUCAAUAUUAUCUGAACAAAAAACGACAAAUUAUAUGUUUAUAGUAAUAUUAUGUUUAUAGCAGUUAAGAAAAGGUUCACUGGAAUUACUAAAGCGUUACCAAACGCUUUUGGUCACCAAAUGUAAACAAAUUAUUUUAUAGAUCAACUUCCUUCAAUGGCUGACCGAAUACUCUGUUGCAUUCAGUAAUUAAAUUGAAGUAUAUUCCGACUAACCGUUGAUAUAUCUUUUAUUUUAUGUGUCGUGACUGCAUGUUAAAGGCAGUCCAUUGGUUUUGGGGAAAUCAUGAACUGCAGUAUUUGGGAAAUUUUUGUGUGAAACCAAGAUGGCGUAAAGUGUUGUAGUGUUGUAUUAUUAACUGAUAUGAUGGAGUUUAUUCAUAGAACUAUGAUCUGGACAAUGCUGCUAGUUUUGUAUCGCGUUUUACCUUUAAACGCUCAUGUUUCUCAAUCUACGAGUGGUAAUAUAAUUUACAAAGCCAAUGAAAAUAAAUGGCUAGAGGAUUCACAUCACAACAAACUAGAACGUUCAUCAAAGCCUGGUAAAAGGCAAAUGGUGUUCAGCGUGAAUGGAAUACAACACAUAUACGAAAAUCCUGGUAAAGACAGUGCUUACCAAGGCUUAGGUAAUAACUUUGGACAGACGAACUUUGGGAACCCCGUGGAAAGAGAAACAGCAGGUUCAAAUUCAAUGGCGCGACAGUUUUCAGCGAGUUCGUUUGCUGGUAAUGUUGAGGAGAAUUUGUCUCCAACACCAAGAAGUGAUUCUCCUUUGCCUGAGAGAGGAGCUUCGUAUAAAUCAAAUUCACAAAUGGCAGAUAUACAUCUCGAAAUGAAUUCUGCAGGAGACAUACACAGUCUACCAAGAGACUCUUCGCAGAGUACUAAUAUAUAUAACAGAGUUGUGAAUACGAACUUCAUGCCUUCCCAGGAACAGCAGACGAACAUUCAAAACACUUUGCAAGGCAUGGCAGAACGUUCUCAGAGUGAUUUACCCACAUCAGAACGACCCGAUGUUCAGGAGUCAUCCAUAACACCUUUCCGGGCUGGAGAAAGGCUGUUUGAAAAUACUUCACCAGAAAACGUUCAACAGAGUGUCUCCUUAAUGGAUUCAUAUUCUCAGAACACCGAGAACGCUUUACAUGGACGUUUUAACAAUGACCUCUCCUCACUUAAACCGCGCAUGGAAAAAGACGAACCACCAUCGGAAACACAAGAUCCUAAUGGUACCAACCUACCCUCGAGUGACUUGAUGGAACACAGCUUCAUCAGCCCACAAAGGGACCCACACCUCUCCACCCUCCCCUCAACUCGCCACAUUGAACCUGUACUUCACCCUGAUUCGGGACCUCAAGUUAUCAACGCCCUUGGUCCAGACAACGUUCACAUCAUCAAAAAAUUCUACCCCCUUCCUGUCGUCCAGAAGGUUCCAAGGCCCAUUCCCGUCACCGUAACGAAACCUGUCCCGUAUCCAGUUCAUCAAAAGAGCUUCCAAUUCGUGCCACGGCCGUAUCCGCAGCCAUUCUCCAAACCAGAUGUUCACCUCGCCUAUGUUCAUCUUGAAAACAGAGCAAAUCCUUGCAAACAUGGCGGAAUUAUAGUUGAGAGUCCUGGUGGUUAUAAUUGCUUAUGUCGCAAGGCUUACAAGGGAAAGCAUUGUCAAGAUCGAGAUUGGUGCUAUCCUUUCCCGUGUCAAAAUAACGGAGAUUGUAUUGAUCAAGGGACGCAUUAUGAAUGCAGGUGUCCUAAAGGAUUCAAGGGGAUAAACUGUGAAGUUGCAGACAAAUGUCACAAUCACCCGUGUAAAAAUGAUGCUAAAUGUAUUCAGUUGUUGGCCGAAAUCAAGUGUGUCUGUUCUCCUGGUUACAAGGGCAAAUAUUGCCAAGAUGUAGAUCAUUGCCACCCUAAUCCUUGCCAUCACGGUGGGAAAUGUGAGGAACUCAAUCAAGCAGCCUCGUGCACGUGCACAUCAUCGUUCAAAGGACGUCGUUGUCAAGUUCCCAAGACGUGUUCUCUCAAUCUUUGUCGCAAUGGUGCGACUUGUCUGGAAGAUAAACCAAGUAACCCGUGCUUGUGCGCGCCGGGUUUUUCUGGACGACAUUGUACUGAGGAUGUCUGUCAACCAAAUCCUUGCCAACACAAUGGAAAGUGUUAUCCUGCACAAAAUACAUUUAACAACACGUGGUACGCUUCCUGCCAAUGCAGGAGUAUUUACAAAGGUGACAUGUGUGAAGUUCCAAAUCCGUGUGCCUCGAAUCCUAGUCCUUGUGUCCAUGGACUAUGCUACGACGCCUAUACGAACAUUGAUCAAGUCGCGAUUCCCCCAGAAGGAUACACGUGUCAUUGUUACGAAGGAUACUUUGGGGUUAACUGCCAAUCAAAGAGAUGCGACCACUGCGAUCCAAAUGCACGAUGCUUGGACGGAUUUAAAUGCACAUGCAAUGAGGGAUAUCAAGGGGAUGGACAGGAUUGUCGAAAAAUCCCCGAUCCUUGUGUCCCAAAUCCCUGUGAAAACGAGGGAUUUUGUCAGGCCGAACUUGGUACAUUUGAGUGCAAGUGCGUUCCAGGGUUCAAGGGAAGAACCUGCAGAGAGAAGACUCCGUGUUCAGGAGUGGUAAACCCUUGCAGGAAUGGUGGAACUUGUAUCGACGAGAAGAACAAUUUCCGAUGCAUUUGCACAAGAGAAUGGAAAGGAAAAGACUGCUCGCAAAAUACGACCAGUUUAUGCCAAGGUGAGCGCUGUCUCAAUGGGGGAACUUGCAGGGUAUCUGAGGACGGUAAGAGUUGGUAUUGUGUAUGCAAGAGUCCUCACUUCAAGCCUCCAGAUUGCGCCUGCGCCUGCCCGGCCAAUGCACAUAACCCUACCGAACGAAACCUAACCUGCAACAACCCGGAAGGUGUGUGCGAAUGCCCGGCAGGUUUUGAACAUCACAAAGGACGCGAUGUCUGUCUUGAUGGUAGAACAAAACCUGUUAGUGGAAAGUCAGAACGAAGUUGUGUUCCUAAUCCUUGCAUAAAUGGAGGAACGUGCGUGCCGCUGUCGUCGUCAAAAUGGAUUUGCCAAUGCCCUGUGGGUUGGAGCGGAAAGACGUGUAAUAUUAAAGCUCCGAUUGGGAAGAACGAAAGUUGCAUCCCCAAUCCUUGUGAAAAUGGAGGUUUAUGUCGCGUUGUGAAUGGUACUGCCGUUUGCUCUUGUCCCGAGGGAUUUUUGCCUCCUCUUUGUGAAAUUAAAGCUAAAUCCGUGUGUUCGCCAAGUCCCUGUCGUAAUCAGGGUCGUUGCGUUAUCGCUGGAGAAAGCUACGAUUGCAUUUGUAAUCAGCGAUACACAGGACCAAAUUGCGAAGUUGAUAGAUGUUUAAAAUGUGAUCCGGUGAAUGCUUGGUGCAAUCUUGGACAGUGUGUGUGUAAACCUGGAUUCACGGGCAAUGGCUAUCAGUGUACACUUCGUAGUAGUGUUAGUCCAAAGAAAGUUAAUGUCUGCAUUCUAUGUCACCCAGUUAAAGCAUUUUGCAUGGAUAAUACUUGUCAUUGUAAAUCUGGAUUUGUCGGUGAUGGUUAUCAAUGUACGGGCAGUCAUCCUGAUCUAAACAAGAUGAUCACGGAUGCUUGAUUCCUGUUUUAAUUCGUGGAUUAUUUAACGUCCAGAGUGACGUCAGCACUAUGCCAAUCUUCUCCUUGGUUUCCAGUCUUCGUAAACAAGAUCAACCGACCCUUACCCUCUGGGACCAGAUACAACAGUAUGGUCACCCUGUGGUCCAGUAUUCAUCGUCUUGGUUGAACCGCUGUGCUGUGUCCAUGGUAUCAACCCCUGGUUACCAGCAGUGAACCAUAUAUUCCAGCCAUCUUCGAAGUCUGUAUCGUAUUUUCCUGAAAGAAAGGCAGGUGGAAAGAUCUUCGCCUGCGCCGAUGCAAGCUUUGCCACCAUUACUUGGAGCGGGUCUGUUACACUGUCUGGUUCGUCUGUGUUUAC